rnacentral:rRNA from 1 species
GUCUACAGCCAUGCUACCCUGAACAAACUCGAUCCCGUCUGAUCUCGGAAGCUAAGCAGGGUCAGGUCUGGUUAGUACUUGGAUGGGAGACCAGCUGCUGUAGGCG